rnacentral:rRNA from 1 species
UACGAAGGGGGCUAGCGUUGCUCGGAAUUACUGGGCGUAAAGGGCGCGUAGGCGGAUGUUUAAGUCGGGGUGAAAGCCCGGGGCUCAACCUCGGAAUUGCCUUCGAUACUGGACAUCUUGAGUACGGGAGAGGUGAGUGGAACUCCGAGUGUAGAGGUGAAAUUCGUAGAUAUUCGGAAGAACACCAGUGGCGAAGGCGACUUACUGGUCCGGAACUGACGCUGAGGUGACGAAAGCGUGGGGAGCAAACAGG